GAUGAACGCUGGCGGCGUGCCUAAUACAUGCAAGUCGAGCGAACGGACGAGAAGCUUGCUUCUCUGAUGUUAGCGGCGGACGGGUGAGUAACACGUGGAUACCUACCUAUAAGACUGGGAUAACUUCGGGAAACCGGAGCUAAUACCGGAUAAUAUUUUGAACCGCCUGGUUCAAAAGUGAAAGACGGUCUUGCUGUCACUUAUAGAUGGAUCCGCGCUGCAUUAGCUAGUUGGUAAGGUAACGGCUUACCAAGGCAACGAUGCAUAGCCGACCUGAGAGGGUGAUCGGCCACACUGGAACUGAGACACGGUCCAGACUCCUACGGGAGGCAGCAGUAGGGAAUCUUCCGCAAUGGGCGAAAGCCUGACGGAGCAACGCCGCGUGAGUGAUGAAGGUCUUCGGAUCGUAAAACUCUGUUAUUAGGGAAGAACAUAUGUGUAAGUAACUGUGCACAUCUUGACGGUACCUAAUCAGAAAGCCACGGCUAACUACGUG
rnacentral:rRNA from 1 species